UGAUUUUUGAACUGCUGGCGACCGAGUUCCGGCGAUCCUGAUGCGCACCUUGGGCUCCCUCGCGUUCGGUUUCGGCCGCAGGACCAGGAAGGUUUAGGGAAGGCGGCGGGACCCGGCCCCUUGAGGCCAGCCAUGGGCCCGCGUCGCAAACCGGAGACCCCAAGGAGGAGACCCUCUAGCCCGACGCCCGGACCCUCACGACUGAGCUCCAGUGUAGGCUCUCAGACACUGCGCAGAAGACAGAAAUUCAUGUGGCUUAAGGAAAUCAAGACUCUGCAGAAGAACACAGACCUCUUGUUCAGGAAGAAGCCUUUCAGCAUGGUUGUAAGAGAAAUAUGUUGGAAGUUCAGCCGUGGUGUGGACUUAUGGUGGCAAGCCCAUGCCUUGUUGGCCCUUCAGGAGGCAGCAGAAGCUUUCCUCGUCCACCUCUUUGAGGACGCCUACCUCCUCUCCUUACAUGCUGGUCGGGUCACGCUUUUCCCCAAAGACAUUCAGCUGACCAGGAGGAUCCGAGGCUUCGAGGGCGGACUCCCCUAAGCUGCCAGUGGAAUGUGUCCUGUUAAGGUAAGAGUGGUGCUUCACGCUUGUAAGCCAGCACUCGGGAAGCCCAAGACCAAUGUGAACAUCUCACGCGUGCCGAAUGGAUGCCUGCCAGCACUAUAGACUGAGAUCUUUUUUAAAACAAGUGAAUGGAUGAGUUGUGCUCCGUAUUUCUGAUGACAUUACCUGGAAGCAUUUGGAGUUGCAGCUUGACAGUGGUGUCGGAGGAGCUGGCUGGGUUUUGCUGUUUUUAAAUACUGGCUACACGGUGCCCUUAAAACUGUCUGUGAAAGAGAAGACUGUGGCCUUCCCCUGGCACAGAGGUCUGCCCACUCGCUCCCAUGGACACGAGUGUUUGCAGACCAAAGGUCAAUUUGGUUUGUGAAUUGUUCAGUCCUAUGGCUGAAGGUAUCAGACACCCGAUACCUGCCAUGGUAUGGUUAUUUCACUCUUACUGUUCUGUUUGCAACUUUUACCAUUAGUGUUUGUACUUUUAUUUAAAAUAUAAGGAAGAAAAACCUGAAUAAAGCGCUUGAAUCUGUUGUAUGAGAGCUGUGGCGGUCCCGCUGUAUAAAUGCCUGCCUUCCAGAGUGACCUCAUCCUGUCAUCCGUGUUUGCCUGUCAGUCAGC